rnacentral:rRNA from 1 species
UACAGAGGGUGCAGGCGUUGUUCGGAAUUACUGGGCGUACAGGGAGCGUAGGCGGUUGGGUAAGCCCUCCGUGAAAUCUCCGGGCCUAACCCGGAAAGUGCGGAGGGGACUGCUCGGCUAGAGGAUGGGAGAGGAGCGCGGAAUUCCCGGUGUAGCGGUGAAAUGCGUAGAGAUCGGGAGGAAGGCCGGUGGCGAAGGCGGCGCUCUGGAACAUUUCUGACGCUGAGGCUCGAAAGCGUGGGGAGCAAACAGG